UCAAAGCAAGCAGGCAGCCUGCAGGGUAGCAGUGGGGGAGUGGACUGCCCAGGAACCUAAGAUCAAAGUAUGUAAGCUCCUGAUCAUCCACAGAUACCACUCUAUCCAGCAAUCCUGAUUCUAAAAGCAUCUCCGCAGAACUGUCUUACUUGUUGGAAUGCUGUAUUGUUUCAGUGCUACUUUGCAAUGAAGAUUCAUUACCUUUUCUUAGCAUUUAUCCUCUUUGGCCUGCUGUCCAGCUCAGGAAGUGAAGAUGUUCAUAACGUAACUAGUAUCCUGGACUGUAAAAAUCAAACAUUGUGUAAUUCCGAAAAUACAAAUGGACACUGCUCUGAUGUUCAGAAGGUGGGACUGUGCAUCUUACGUCUUAGUCCAACUCAGCAGCAGCAGACCCUGUAGCCAGGAAUGCAAGAUGAUCAACUCCUUUGAUGCAUUAAAUAAGAGAACCUGC